rnacentral:lncRNA from 1 species
UUUACAGACACAGUCAGUGUAUCACAAUUGUGCUUCCCAACGACAUGUCUACUUAGCUACCGAAUGAUGCAUCCAAAUAAUGACUGCGCGAUACAUUCUCCGAAAUUUUGCAAUCCUUGGGCAUAAACCACACCCUUUCGUAGUAAGACAAAAAAUUCUAUAUAUAAAGGUGUCGUCCUAAAGUUUAACAACGAACUGACUAGUGUAAACUUAAAAUAUAAAGUUAAAACUUUAUAAAGUUUAUACUUAAAGGUCUCCACACUAAAAUAGUGAUGGACACAAAGACCUUUAAACACAGGCCCUCUAUUACUGAUGCUGUACCCUCCCUACCUUUCUUUUAAAUCUUCUGACACUUCUUAGUCAUAUACUUGUUUGAAACAAGUACAAACUGAUAUUAUAAUUUAUGUUUCUUAAUAAAUCAAUCAAUACUACAAGGCAUUGAUGAACACAAUUUUAUUAGAUGUAGCUGCUUCAUGUCCAGCGACAAAUAUAUCAGUCACAUUUCAAAAAAGAUAGUAACAUAUAGGUGUUGCAAAACAUUGCUUUAGUUAAUUUAAAACUCCAGUUAAUAGAUCAUACAAAGCAUUCAAGAAGAACUUUUAAUCAUCGAUGAAUCUGCUUCAUGUCCAGCGACAAAUAUAUCAGUCAUAAUACAAGAAGAUAGUACAUGUAUGUGUUGCAAAACAUUGCCUUAGUCAAUUUAAAAUCCCUUCAACGGAUUCUUGUUUACCAAACCAAAUACGGUGUAGGAAAGGGUCUUGAUAAACCCUGAUUUAUUUUAUUGCUUUUUUGGUGUUUAAUGCCACUUUCAUCACCACUGGCUUUGUCAUUGCGGACAGUUUUUUUUUAUCAGCAAAAAAAAAAAAAAAAAAAACAGCUUGAAAAAAACCCAAACAAAUGGUAGCAUCAGCAAAGUGAAUAUGUCAUUCAUAUAUAUCUGUAGUCGUUGGGAUGCUGUCUCAUUGAGGGAAAACUCGCAUCUCCUUUUCUCCGUUCAGCGUGCACAUGUCGUUUGCAUAUUUUUGUCGCUAGGUUGCUGUCUCAUUGACGUUUACCCCACAAUCUGUUUGUUGCACACUAUAUAUUUGCAAACAUGCAGUUAAAAAUGUUAUUGCAUAUGUAUAAUAAAGUGAGAAAAUGCAGAAGAGAAGACCAAAGGACUUAAUAGAAGAAAAAAAGCAAGGAUAUUUUUCUUUCUUCAAAAACGACCUGUUUGGUCACUCGUAUAUUGGUUGUCUAUAAAUAUAGUUCCUGACAGUUUUAUGAAUGUAAACUAUAAGUACUGUGUCUUUUAUGUGAAAAUGUAUAGCUUAACAUUAUAAGUUAUUUGUUUGAUAGUGAUAUGUAUCAUCAUUUCUUGAAAUUUGAACUUUUUCGGAUUGCAUUGUGGGAUGAAGUGUCAAAAAAUGUAUGAAAGGCAACUCUGUCUACUUAAUCAGCGUAAAAAUCGUUGUUUUAAAAGUGCGACUUUUCCCAUGUGUCUAAAUGACUUUAUAUUUCAUGUCAUUAAGCAGUUCAUAAUAAGUAAGCACACGAGUUUGUGUUAAGAUGUACUACAGAUUUCAACUUUUGUUUUAUUUAGUAACUGUAAAUCUUAAAAAAAUGUGUGUUUGCCAAAAAAAAAAAAAAAAAAAAAAAAAAUAUGUCUUCACUGGGAACUCCAGAGCUGAAACCUACAGACUUCAGUUUAGCAGGGACGUAACUCUAUUGCCAUUUUGCGCAUAGAAUCUUUACAGACACAGUCAGUGUAUCACAAUUGUGCUUCCCAACGACAUGUCUACUUAGCUACCGAAUGAUGCAUCCAAAUAAUGACUGCGCGAUACAUUCUCCGAAAUUUUGCAAUCCUUGGGCAUAAACCACACCCUUUCGUAGUAAGACAAAAAAUUCUAUAUAUAAAAGGUGUCGUCCUAAAGUUUAACAACGAACUGACUAGUGUAACUUAAAAUAUAGAGUUAAAACUUUAUAAAGUUUAUACUUAAAGGUCUCCACACUAAAAUAGUGAUGGACACAAAGACCUUUAAACACAGGCCCUCUAUUACUGAUGCUGUACCC